rnacentral:rRNA from 1 species
AUUGAACGCUGGCGGCAUGCUUUACACAUGCAAGUCGGACGGCAGCACAGAGAAGCUUGCUUCUUGGGUGGCGAGUGGCGAACGGGUGAGUAACAUAUCGGAACGUACCGAGCAGUGGGGGAUAACUAAUCGAAAGAUUAGCUAAUACCGCAUAUCUUCUGAGGAAGAAAGCAGGGGACCAUUUGGCCUUGCGCUGUUUGAGCGGCCGAUAUCUGAUUAGCUAGUUGGUGGGGUAAAGGCCUACCAAGGCGACGAUCAGUAGCGGGUCUGAGAGGAUGAUCCGCCACACUGGGACUGAGACACGGCCCAGACUCCUACGGGAGGCAGCAGUGGGGAAUUUUGGACAAUGGGCGCAAGCCUGAUCCAGCCAUGCCGCGUGUCUGAAGAAGGCCUUCGGGUUGUAAAGGACUUUUGUCAGGGAAGAAAAGGGCGGGGUUAAUACCCCUGUCUGAUGACGGUACCUGAAGAUAAGCCC